rnacentral:rRNA from 1 species
GUGAGGAAUAUUGGUCAAUGGACGGAAGUCUGAACCAGCCAAGUAGCGUGCAGGAUGACGGCCCUAUGGGUUGUAAACUGCUUUUAUACGGGGAUAAACGCGGCCACGUGUGGCCGCCUGCAGGUACCGUAUGAAUAAGGACCGGCUAAUUCCGUGCCAGCAGCCGCGGUAAUACGGAAGGUCCGGGCGUUAUCCGGAUUUAUUGGGUUUAAAGGGAGCGUAGGCCGUGGAUUAAGCGUGUUGUGAAAUGUAGACGCUCAACGUCUGAAUUGCAGCGCGAACUGGUUCACUUGAGUACGCACAACGUUGGCGGAAUUCGUCGUGUAGCGGUGAAAUGCUUAGAUAUGACGAAGAACUCCGAUUGCGAAGGCAGCUGACGGGAGCGCAACUGACGCUGAAGCUCGAAAGUGCGGGUAUCGAACAGGAUUAGAAACCCUAGUAGUCC